rnacentral:rRNA from 1 species
GAUGAACGCUGGCGGCGUGCUUAACACAUGCAAGUCGAACGGAAAGGCCCAAGCUUGCUUGGGUGCUCGAGUGGCGAACGGGUGAGUAACACGUGGGUGAUCUGCCCUGCACUUUGGGAUAAGCCUGGGAAACUGGGUCUAAUACCGGAUAGGACCAUCGUUUAGUGUCGGUGGUGGAAAGUUUUUCGGUGUGGGAUGAGCUCGCGGCCUAUCAGCUUGUUGGUGGGGUAAUGGCCUACCAAGGCGUCGACGGGUAGCCGGCCUGAGAGGGUGUACGGCCAAAGUUGGACUGGGAAUCAGCCAAGGCCCCGACGGGGAGGGGGGGGAGGGGAUUUUUACAAUGGGGGGCGAGCCAUAGCCAGGGACCCCGGUGGGGGGGUUGUGGUCUUGGGGUUAGAAUUCCCUUUCCCCAGGGCAAGAGGUUUGAGUGAGGGUACUGGGAAAAGAAGCCCCGGCUAACUCCGUG